AUUUUAAAAGAUUUAUUAUAAACAGUGUGCCCUGUUAUGCUGGCAGCAGACUCAUAGAUCUCAUACCCGUUUCUUGCCAGGCACAGUGGCAAUCCCAGCGGCUCAGAGGCUGAGGCAAGAGGAUCUCAAGUUCAAAGCCGACUUCAGCAAUUUAGCAAGAUCCUAAGAAACUUAGUGAGACCCCAUCUCAAAUUUAAAAUAAAAGAGUUAGGGAUGUGGCUCAGUGGUUAAGCACCCUUGGGCUCAAUCCCUGGUACCAAAAACCAAAACCAAAAUAAAGAAAAACCCAACCCUUGUUUCUCCAUAGCAUCAAGAGGCCACAUUGAGUGACUGACCAGCUAGACUUAUAUAAAUGCACUUAAUGUACUCUGAUAUUCCCAUGGACAAAAUUGCCUAGGGAUGAACUUCUCAGAAUGUAUCCCCAUUCUCUUUCAAUUUUCUUUCUUUUUUUUUUUUCUUUAACACUGAGCUGUAUUUCCAGUCCCUUUUUUUUUUUUUUUUUUUUUUGAGACAGGGUCUCAUUAAGUUGCUGAGGCUGGCCUCAAACUUACCAUCCUCCUGCCUCAGCUUCCUCAGUUGCUGGGAUUUCCAGCCCAGGCCACCAUACCAACCUGUUGUGUCCCCACUCUUAAAUAACUCCUGACUGUGCUUACCUCUUACUGAGAACUUAUUGAGUACUGGACAUUGUGCCAAGAACUUCACAAACAUCACCUACUUUCGAAUUUCACAGCAACCUAAGGGGCAUUACUCUCCCCAGCUUUCAAGCAAGGAAACUAAAAAUUAAAAAGAACAUGUAAAUGUCCCCUAAUCACACAGUUAGCAAAUGACAGAAGUAGGAUUUGAACCAAGGUGGAGGAGAAACUCAGAAACACCACCGUUCGGUGUCUGAGUCCACAUCAUGGUUCUGGUAUUAUACCUUCUCUCUUCUGUGAUCCACGCAUAUUUAUCAUUUAGCUUAUUUUCCAAGGAUGCAGCUGUGCUUCUCAGGGGGAACUGGUGUUGCUGAUGUCCCUGUGAGGCACAGGCUGUAGACAUCCAAUUAUUUUUCUAAGGUAAUAUAUUUUUUCCUUUCUCAUAACCCUGUUUUUUUCCCCUAGCACUAAGUGUCACUUGAUAUUUUAUAUCUACUGCAUUAUCAAGAUGUGGUCUGGUGGCCCAAGUGAAAGGAAAACUCCAAGGCAGGGGCUACAUCCGUCCUGUUUCCCUCUCGACUACCCAGGGCUUAGAACAGUGCCAAGCACAAAGUGGGAACCGAAUUAGUAUAUAUUUGUCAAAUAAAUGAACAAGGGCAGGGACGGCUUUGCAAUCGUUCCUGUGCAUUAUUUGUUCCUGGCUCCUUCCAUCUAGUGACCAUGUCUCUAGAAUUAUCUAGCCAGUGACUGGGUUAGAUUGUAACAUACUCUAUGAACGUGCAUCCCAGACAAUGGGAGACACAGUCUCAGAAUCCCUGGUGGGGUUUCCCCCAAAUAAAUUCGCUUGCCCGUUUGUUCCUAACCUCAAUCCCACCCUCUCUUUCUGACCCUUCUGUUUUACUCUCCUAAGAACUCUCUGAGGGCAGGGUACAUAUCUGAGUCAUGUUUGGUAUUCCACACUUGGUACUCUUCCAGCACUCUGCAACUGUGCGGGAAAUUAGUGAAUCGCACUCGUGGUCUUGGUCUCUUUAACAUGGUGCUCCAACCACCUGGGCCAACAAUGGCUCCAUCUACACAUGUUUGAGGACCAAAGCUGCCUUGAGCUGGGCGCAGUGGUGCAUGUCUGUAAUCCCAGUGGCCUGGGAGGCUGAGGCAGGAGGAUCCUGAAUUCAAAGCCAGCCUCAGCAACUUGGCGAGGCCCUAAGCAACUUAGCAAGACCCUUCUCUAAAAAAAGAAAAAAAAAACUGGCUUGGCUUGCCUUGAAGGCGGAAUCUAACUGGGUUGAUGAUUUUAGCUCUGCAGGGCCAGGAGAGGGAGAUGGGGAGGGAAGGAAGCUCUUGCUGAGGGUCCUACCUGCAUGCAUGCCAGGGUCCUAUCCAUUGCCGUCCCCAGGAGUGAUAUAAACCUAAGAACCUCACCAAUAGAAAUAGAUUAGGAAGAUUAAAACAGCAUCCCAACUAGGUUUGAACAUCACUCUGGAGCAGGUUUCUUAGCUCACCCACUCUGAAGGUCUUUCUCUGCAAAAUGGAAACAACAGUAACUUAUUGGGUCGCUGAGAAUAAAGGGAGAGGGUGUAUACAAACAACUAAAAAAAAAAGCCAUUAGUAAAUUGAUUAUCAGCUUUGAAAUACAAUGCUGAUGAAGGGGAUGAUUAGUGGACAGUAGGAGGCUCCCCAAAGGUCUGGGAGAGGACCCUCCCUCUGGCCUCCCUCCUUGGCCGCUCCCCAGAUGCUUGACAUUCCAGCCCGUGGCCCUCAGAAGCCCAGGUUUACAUGCAGAUUGUAUCUGGUACUGUUAAUGGCAUUCAUUCACCUUAUUAGCACCUUCACUGUAAUCAGAUUAGCCUCAGUUGAAAAAUAAAAAAGUCCUGGGCCCAGAAAUGUGAGGGGAAAGGUAAAGAAGAGGGUUCACAGGACACAAAAAAAAGGUCCUUAACUGCAGGUGGCCUUGGUGGAAUGAUAAAGAGGCGUGAGAAGCUGUGAGCACAGCAGGUGCCCUCUGUGGACCCUGAGCUGGGGGAUGGAUGGACAGGUAUAGGGAUGCAUGGGGCCCUGCUCUUCUCAGUGUGUGUCUGCAGGAGGCCACUGGGAUGAAUGUACUUGUGUUGAUUAAUUUAUUUACUGACUUAUUAAAAAAAAUUAAGGCAUUAAAGGCUCUGUGUGAUCCUGUCAUUUCUCAAUCAAAAGACUUUAAAGUUUCAACCACUCUCCUAGGGAGGGUAAGGGGAGAGAAAGAGGAGAACUAGUAUGUAGGGUCUUAUUUUUUAGAUCAGUUUUAUCUUCACAGAAAAACUGAGCAGAGUACAGAGUCCCCAUGUCCUUCCUCUCAUCCCCUUUCCUUUCCCCUGUCAUUAACAACUAACCAUGGUGUGAUACAUUUGUUGCAAUUGAUAACUGAUAUUGAAACAUCAUUAUUGACUAAAGUGUACAGCUGACAUUAGGCUUCACUCUGUGUUGUGAAGUCCUAGACAUUUUGCCUAAUCCACAAUGUCCUGAUCCCAUCACUAUCACAUCAUAUACAAGGGUGACAGUGUGCAGAAAGUCCCCUUGAUGGGUCCUUAUCCCAAAGGCUGGUUUAGACUUGGGACUCGAUUGGGGGAGUGACUUUUUGUGAUAAGCACAAGUUAGGGGUGCAGCACCUGGGGAGAGACACAGUCCCACAUGUGGGUCCCUUGGAGGGGUAGAGAGAAGGCGGAUCUCAGCCUCUGUGGGACACGAUUCAAAGUUUCUUUAUUUCCUACCCCAUUUAUUUUCCCCUUCCUUCUUGCCUUUCCUUUCUUAAUACUUUUCCCUCUUUAGGUUUCAAAUCUUUUGGCAGGUACUUAAUAAAAUUGGGAAGGCCCUUUGUCAUUGGUUCUUAACCCCAAGUUACACAUUUGACUUUCAUAGAAGUAUUUAAAAAGUCAUCCUGAUGCCUGGGGCCCAUCCUGGUUUGGUUUAAUCAGAUUUUCUGCAGAUGAGGUCCAGGUCCAGGGCCUUAUUCAGACUCUCCCAGUGGUCCUAAGGGCAACCAGGGUCCUAGGUAAUGUACCUGUAGCCACUCAGAUUCUCAGGGGGUGCUGAGGUCCAGAGAGCUGGGCCUCCUUUGGGAAGGAGUGUCCCCCCUACUGUACAGGAAGAGAUCACAGGUGUCUUUAUUGGGAAGGUGUCCAGGCAGAGAUUGUUUCAUGUUCUCACACAUGUUCACAGAUAGAAACUGGAUGUUGGGGUCCAUCCUAUUGAAAUAGUGAAAAUUGGGGAAAACCUAAAUGUACACAAAGAGCAGAUGAUUACAUAAAAGUGGCAGCCCAAAGCACUACAUAGCAAUUUUUUUUGAAUAUUUAUUUUUUAGUUGUAGUUGGACACAAUACCUUUAUUUUAUUUAUUUAAAUGUGGUGCUGAGGAUCGAACCCAGGGCCUCGCACAUGCUAGAUGAACACUUUACUGCUGAGCCACAACCCCAGCCCUACAUAGCAAUUUAAACAAAUGACACCAAACCUGUACAUAUUGACACACAGGGCAAUAUUCAAAAGAAGCAACCCCAGUGCUGGGGGUGUGGCUCGGCUGUGGCUUGGUGGUAGGGCCAUUUGGCAUGCAAAAAGCUUGGGGUUCAAUCCCAGCAGCGCCAGUACACGUGUGCAUGUGUGUGCACCCACAUACAAACAAGAAAGAAAAGAAAUGAAAUAUGUCACUCUGGUCUGAGCACGGGUGGUGACCAGAAACUGGCCCUGCUGUUAUGCUGGUACAUCCAGGAGGAACAUCAGUUCUGCUGACACAUGAAAAAAAAAUCAUCUCCAGGGUGUUGUUAAGUGGAAAAUGUCAGUCCUAGCACAGCAUGC
rnacentral:lncRNA from 1 species